rnacentral:rRNA from 1 species
CGACGGGUAGCCGGCCUGAGAGGGCGACCGGCCACACUGGGACUGAGACACGGCCCAGACUCCUACGGGAGGCAGCAGUGGGGAAUAUUGCACAAUGGGCGCAAGCCUGAUGCAGCGACGCCGCGUGAGGGAUGACGGCCUUCGGGUUGUAAACCUCUUUCAGCAGGGAAGAAGCGCAAGUGACGGUACCUGCAGAAGAAGCACCGGCUAACUACGUGCCAGCAGCCGCGGUAAUACGUAGGGUGCGAGCGUUGUCCGGAAUUAUUGGGCGUAAAGAGCUCGUAGGCGGCCUGUCGCGUCGGAUGUGAAAGCCCGGGGCUUAACCCCGGGUCUGCAUUCGAUACGGGCAGGCUAGAGUUCGGUAGGGGAGAUCGGAAUUCCUGGUGUAGCGGUGAAAUGCGCAGAUAUCAGGAGGAACACCGGUGGCGAAGGCGGAUCUCUGGGCCGAUACUGACGCUGAGGAGCGAAAGCGUGGGGAGCGAACAGGAUUAGAUACCCUGGUAGUCCACGCCGUAAACGUUGGGCACUAGGUGUGGGCGGCAUUCCACGUCGUCCGUGCCGCAGCUAACGCAUUAAGUGCCCCGCCUGGGGAGUACGG